rnacentral:rRNA from 1 species
GACGAACGCUGGCGGCGUGCUUAACACAUGCAAGUCGAACGGAAAGGCCCUGCUUUUGUGGGGUGCUCGAGUGGCGAACGGGUGAGUAACACGUGAGUAACCUGCCCUUGACUUUGGGAUAACUUCAGGAAACUGGGGCUAAUACCGGAUAGGAGCUCCUGCUGCAUGGUGGGGGUUGGAAAGUUUCGGCGGUUGGGGAUGGACUCGCGGCUUAUCAGCUUGUUGGUGGGGUAGUGGCUUACCAAGGCUUUGCCGGGUAGCCGGCCUGAGAGGGUGACCGGCCACAUGGGGACUGAGAUACGGCCCAGACUCGUACGGGAGGCAGCAGUGGGGAAUAUUGCACAAUGGGCGGAAGCCUGAUGCAGCAACGCCGCGUGCGGGAUGACGGCCUUCGGGUUGUAAACCGCUUUCGCCUGUGACGAAGCGUGAGUGACGGUAAUGGGUAAAGAAGCACCGGCUAACUACGUG